UCAGUGGCGAACGGGUGAGUAACACGUGAGUAACCUGCCCCAGACUCUGGGAUAACCCCGGGAAACCGGAGCUAAUACCGGAUAUUACUUCUGUGCGCAUGUGCGGGGGUGGAAAGUUUUUCGGUCUGGGAUGGGCUCGCGGCCUAUCAGCUUGUUGGUGAGGUAGUGGCUCACCAAGGCGACGACGGGUAGCCGGCCUGAGAGGGCGACCGGCCACACUGGGACUGAGACACGGCCCAGACUCCUACGGGAGGCAGCAGUGGGGAAUAUUGCACAAUGGGCGAAAGCCUGAUGCAGCGACGCCGCGUGAGGGAUGACGGCCUUCGGGUUGUAAACCUCUUUCAGCAGGGAAGAAGCGGAAGUGACGGUACCUGCAGAAGAAGCACCGGCUAACUACGUGCCAGCAGCCGCGGUAAUACGUAGGGUGCGAGCGUUGUCCGGAAUUAUUGGGCGUAAAGAGCUUGUAGGCGGUUUGUCGCGUCUGCUGUGAAAAUCCGGGGCUCAACUCCGGACUUGCAGUGGGUACGGGCAGGCUAGAGUGUGGUAGGGGAGACUGGAAUUCCUGGUGUAGCGGUGGAAUGCGCAGAUAUCAGGAGGAACACCGAUGGCGAAGGCAGGUCUCUGGGCCACUACUGACGCUG
rnacentral:rRNA from 1 species